rnacentral:pre_miRNA from 1 species
AAUGUACUCCCUCCGUCCGGAAAUACUUGUCUAAGGAAUGGAUGUAUCUAGAUGUAUUUUAGUUUUAGAUACAUCCAUUUGUAUCCAUUUCUAUGACAAGUAUUUUCAGACGGAGGGAGUAUGUG